UACGAAGGGGGCUAGCGUUGCUCGGAAUCACUGGGCGUAAAGCGCACGUAGGCGGAUUGUUAAGUCAGGGGUGAAAUCCUGGAGCUCAACUCCAGAACUGCCUUUGAUACUGGGGACCUUGAGUCCGGGAGAGGUGAGUGGAAUUGCGAGUGUAGAGGUGAAAUUCGUAGAAAUUCGCAAGAACACCAGUGGCGAAGGCGGCUCACUGGCCCGGAACUGACGCUGAGACGCGAAAGCGUGGGGAGCAAACAGG
rnacentral:rRNA from 1 species